UGGGGAAUAUUGCGCAAUGGGCGAAAGCCUGACGCAGCGACGCCGCGUGGAGGAUGAAGGUUUUCGGAUUGUAAACUCCUGUCAGAUGGGAAGAAAGUACUAUAUUUAAUAGAUGUAAGAAAUGACGGUACCAUCAGAGGAAGCACCGGCUAACUUCGUGCCAGCAGCCGCGGUAAUACGAAGGGUGCAAACGUUAUUCGGAAUCACUGGGCGUAAAGGGUGCGUAGACGGUAUGUUAAGUUCGUUGUUAAAGGCUUCGGCCUAACCGGAGUUCUGCAAUGAAAACUGGCAAGCUAGAGGGUGAGAGAGAGAAGUGGAAUUCCUGGAGUAGCGGUAAAAUGCGUGGAUCUCAGGAGGAACACCGAUGGCGAAGGCAGCUUCUUGGCUCAUUCCUGACGUUGAGGCACGAAAGCGUGGGGAGCAAACAGGAUUAGAUACCCCCGUAGUCC
rnacentral:rRNA from 1 species